CUUGACUUUUUUGCAGGUGAGAGUUAGAGUCUAGUUCAUUCUUCUGCAUAUGGAUAUCCAGUUUUCCCAGCACCAUUUUUUGAAAAGGCUAGCUUUUCUCUGCCAAAUAUUUUUGGCACCUUUGUCAAGUAUCAGAUGGCCUUAAGUUUGUGGGUUUGUCUCUGUGUCUUCUAUUCUAUUUCAUUGGUCUUCACGUCUAUUUUGAUGCCAUAUCACGCAGUUUUUGUCACUAUGGCACUGUAGUAUAAUUUUACAUCAGGUACUGUGAUACCUCCUGUGUUGCUCUUAUUGCUCAGGAUGGUUUUGGCUUUUCUGGGUCAUUUAUCUUCCAAAUUAAUUUUAGAUCUGGGUUUUUUCCCCCAGUUUUGGGAAGAAUGUAUUAGGAUUUUGAUGGGGAUUGUAUUGAAUCUGUAUGACACUUCUGAUAGUAUGACCGUUCUGACAAUAUUGAUUUUGCCUCUUUAAGAACAUGAGGGCUCUUUCCACCUUCCAAGGUCUUCUUCAAUUUUCUUCUUCAGUGUCCUAUAAUUUUAAUCAUAGAGAUCUUUCACCUCCUUGGUUAAAUCAAUUCUCAAGUGUUUUGUUAUAUUUUGGUUUUUGAGGUUAUUUUAAACAGGAUGGUUUUCCUGAUUUCUUUCUCAGCAGAACCACUAU
rnacentral:lncRNA from 1 species